rnacentral:tRNA from 1 species
UCCCUGAUAGCUCAGUUGGUACAGAAUCUGCCUGCAAUGCAGGAGACCCGGGUUUGAUUCCUGGGUUGGGAA